GAAGUGCAGCAGAGACAAGUUCCUAAGUGCAAGUGUCUUGAGACAGGAAGAGGCUCCCUGAAGAACUGAAGGAAGUCCUUUCCUUGUGGCUGGCACAGAGAUGCAGAGUGGCCUGGAAUUCUCUGGGGAAAAGAAACCCAAGCAGAGGUAUUGUUUCUAUGGUUCAGAGUCAUCCGGUUUUACCGACGACUAGCAGCCUGCCCCAACUGGCUAAAUACAUGCCAACAACGGACUGCUGAGACAGCACUGUGUGGCUCUGUUCUCACUCGUGGCUGAUGGGCAAAGGCGGCUACGGAGGCACAGCUACGUGCAGAUGUCCUUACAGCUUUGCAACCCUCAAGGAAAAAGAGAUGUGGAUUUUAUGGAAUAGGUGCUACGUGGAGGAAUCCUGAGUCAUGGCCAAACAGCAAAUGCCAGCAAGAGUAGAGUAGGAGGCAUUUCUGUGUACACUUUGGGAAAAAGUCCAUUCCUCACUUGGUUUCAUUCCUGGCCUGAGCCACUGUGUCCUCCACCUGAAGCCCUAACCUCUCCAUUACUGACUGGAUCCCAAUGUGCCACAGUUCACCUGCAUGAGGAGGGGUCAAAGACAAGAAAACUGAAAGUGAGAGGCUAAGUCAUUUGCUGAGGUCAUAUGACAUCUAAAUGGCAGAGCUCGGAAACCUCAGGGAUUAGAGUGAAGUGGGGUCUCACUCUGUCACCCAGGCUGGAGUACAGUGGUGCAAUCAUAGCUUACUGCAGCCUUGACCUCCUAGGCUCAAGCGAUCCUCCUGCCUCAGCUCCUGAGCAGCUGGAACUACAGGUGUGUGCCACCAUGCCUGGCUUGAUGUGCUAAAUCUUGCAAGACUCAGUCUGCCUGCACCCAGGUGAAAUGAACAGCCAUGUUGCUCACACAAAGCCUGUUUGGGGGUCUCUUCACACGGAUGUGCGUGAGACAUUCUGAGCCAAAUGUGAGUGACCAAUGGCCCAUGACAAAGCCCUCUGGAGACCCUGAGAACCCACGUGUCCGUGGAGGUCGGGGUGCAGCUUAAUUUUUUAUACAUUUCAGGGAGACAUGAAACAUCAGUCAAAUACAUUUAGGAUAUAUAUUGGUCCAGUUCAGAAAGGAGAGACAACUCAUAGGAGGUGGGGUUUGAGGUU